rnacentral:tRNA from 1 species
CUUGGUUACCGAAACCAAGCGCCUUCAAAGCCCUAAACGGGAUGGCCCAUCCCAAUUUC